AGCAACCACAGAAAAACUUUUGAAUGAAAUCAAACGAAAGACACGAACCAACACGAACUAACACGAACCAACGAGAAUAAUCUAUCAAUAAGAACUCAAUAAGAAGAGAAAAGAAACCUGAACGAGAACAUAAACCUGACCGGAGGGAAAACGAUUGACAGGACUAACGUUAAAUCGAAUGGAUUGAAGACAUCCAGAAGACAAAACUUCAAACAGAACUGCAACUUUCUGAACUGCCUGUACUGCAUCGAAUGCUGGCUUCGGUCAGGUUUUUUAUAGUGGAUAAAAGAUCUGAAUUGAUGGCGAGCCUCCCAGAAUCCCGAAUCUGAACUUCCCUUCACCUUUCAUUUCCCUUCACACCACUGUGGUAGGACUGUAAGACUGACCCAGACUGACCUUUUGACUAUUCCCUGACUUA